rnacentral:misc_RNA from 1 species
GAUGAAGAACGUAGCAAAAUGCGAUAAGUAAUGUGAAUUGCAGAAUUCAGUGAAUCAUCGAAUCUUUGAACGCACAUUGCGCCCGCCAGUAUUCUGGCGGGCAUGCCUGUUCGAGCGUCAUUUCAACCCUCAAGCACAGCUUGGUGUUGGGACUCGCGUUAAUUCGCGUUCCCCAAAUUGAUUGGCGGUCACGUCGAGCUUCCAUAGCGUAGUAGUAAAACCCUCGUUACUGGUAAUCGUCGCGGCCACGCCGUUAAACCCCAACUUCUGAAUGUUGAACUCGGAUCAGGUAGGAAUACCCGCUGAACUUAAGCAUAUCAAUAAGCGGAGGA